GUCGAGAUACUACAGAUUUAAUAACACUCAAGAACUAGUCUCAAGAAAAGGGAAUAUCAACGCGCAUUCGAGAAAAGAAAGGCAGAAACGACCAUACUAGAUAAAAUUUCGCGGAACCUUAAAACAAUAUGACGACUAACCCAUGGAAGCGAUUAGGACAUGUACUUCAUGUCAACACAACUUCAAGUCAACGAUAACUAGUCAACGAACAACCAACCGAAUAACGAUUUUCCAACAUUAACAGAAACGAAUAGCAAAAGAGACGAAGAGAAAGUUAUCGGAGUGAACAGAUUACUUUUCUCAGGGCAGCGAAUUGAGACAACACGAGUAGAAUGA
rnacentral:lncRNA from 1 species